GGCGAACGCUGGCGGCGUGCUUAACACAUGCAAGUCGAACGGAAAGGCCCUGCUUGCAGGGUACUCGAGUGGCGAACGGGUGAGUAACACGUGGGUGAUCUGCCCUGCACUUCGGGAUAAGCCUGGGAAACUGGGUCUAAUACCGGAUAGGAGCCAUUUUUAGUGUGAUGGUUGGAAAGUUUUUUCGGUGUAGGAUGAGCUCGCGGCCUAUCAGCUUGUUGGUGGGGUAAUGGCCUACCAAGGCGGCGACGGGUAGCCGGCCUGAGAGGGUGGACGGCCACAGUGGGACUGAGAUACGGCCCAGACUCCUACGGGAGGCAGCAGUGGGGAAUAUUGCACAAUGGGCGCAAGCCUGAUGCAGCGACGCCGCGUGGGGGAUGACGGCCUUCGGGUUGUAAACUCCUUUCGCUAGGGACGAAGCUUUUUGUGACGGUACCUAGAGAAGAAGCACCGGCUAACUACGUG
rnacentral:rRNA from 1 species